AGCGAACGCUGGCGGCAGGCCUAACACAUGCAAGUCGAACGAACUCUUCGGAGUUAGUGGCGGACGGGUGAGUAACACGUGGGAACGUGCCAUUUGGUACGGAAUAACUCAGGGAAACUUGAGCUAAUACCGUAUGUGCUCUUCGGGGGAAAGAUUUAUCGCCAUUGGAGCGGCCCGCGUCUGAUUAGCUAGUUGGUGAGGUAAAGGCUCACCAAGGCUACGAUCAGUAGCUGGUCUGAGAGGAUGAUCAGCCACAUUGGGACUGAGACACGGCCCAAACUCCUACGGGAGGCAGCAGUGGGGAAUCUUGCGCAAUGGGCGAAAGCCUGACGCAGCCAUGCCGCGUGAAUGAUGAAGGUCUUAGGAUUGUAAAAUUCUUUCACCGGGGACGAUAAUGACGGUACCCGGAGAAGAAGCCCCGGCUAACUUCGUGCCAGCAGCCGCAGUAA
rnacentral:rRNA from 1 species